UUGCAAGGUGUGGGAUGGGCCCGCGGCCUAUCAGCUUGUUGGUGGGGUGACGGCCUACCAAGGCGACGACGGGUAGCCGGCCUGAGAGGGUGUCCGGCCACACUGGGACUGAGAUACGGCCCAGACUCCUACGGGAGGCAGCAGUGGGGAAUAUUGCACAAUGGGCGCAAGCCUGAUGCAGCGACGCCGCGUGGGGGAUGACGGCCUUCGGGUUGUAAACCUCUUUCAGCAGGGACGAAGCGCAGUGACGGUACCUGCAGAAGAAGCACCGGCCAACUACGUGCCAGCAGCCGCGGUAAUACGUAGGGUGCGAGCGUUGUCCGGAAUUACUGGGCGUAAAGAGCUCGUAGGUGGUUUGUCGCGUUGUUCGUGAAAACCGGGGGCUUAACCCUCGGCGUGCGGGCGAUACGGGCAGACUGGAGUACUGCAGGGGAGACUGGAAUUCCUGGUGUAGCGGUGGAAUGCGCAGAUAUCAGGAGGAACACCGGUGGCGAAGGCGGGUCUCUGGGCAGUAACUGACGCUGAGGAGCGAAAGCGUGGGGAGCGAACAGGAUUAGAUACCCUGGUAGUCCACGCCGUAAACGGUGGGUACUAGGUGUGGGUUCCUUCCUUGGAAUCCGUGCCGUAGCUAACGCAUUAAGUACCCCGCCUGGGGAGUACGGCCGCAAGGCUAAAACUCAAAGGAAUUGACGGGGGCCCGCACAAGCGGCGGAGCAUGUGGAUUAAUUCGAUGCAACGCGAAGAACCUUACCUGGGUUUGACAUGCACAGGACGCCGGCAGAGAUGUCGGUUCC
rnacentral:rRNA from 1 species